rnacentral:lncRNA from 1 species
GAUGAAAAGUGAACAACCCAGAGGAAACAGAGCGUUGCACUGGGAGGUAACUCCGCUGGGUGAGGUGCAGCCUGUCACCUGACCGGUCUCUGGGGCUGCCGGUGGCAUCAGGCUGCAUUCCUUGAAUUCUUCCACCCGGCACCGGCUCCGCAAUGAACAACUUCAGGUUCACUGAGCUGAGCGGAUUCCACUCGCUGUGCCCUCGGAGCCUGCCUGAAUCUCCCGCCCAGUCUCAAACCAUGCAGCUGAGUAACUGCAAGGGCGCCUUUGAGGAG